rnacentral:rRNA from 1 species
AUUGAACGCUGGCGGCAGGCCUAACACAUGCAAGUCGAACGGUAACAGGAAGCAGCUUGCUGCUUUGCUGACGAGUGGCGGACGGGUGAGUAAUGUCUGGGAAACUGCCUGAUGGAGGGGGAUAACUACUGGAAACGGUAGCUAAUACCGCAUAACGUCGCAAGACCAAAGAGGGGGACCUUCGGGCCUCUUGCCAUCGGAUGUGCCCAGAUGGGAUUAGCUUGUUGGUGGGGUAACGGCUCACCAAGGCGACGAUCCCUAGCUGGUCUGAGAGGAUGACCAGCCACACUGGAACUGAGACACGGUCCAGACUCCUACGGGAUGCAGCAGUGGGGAAUAUUGCACAAUGGGCGCAAGCCUGAUGCAGCCAUGCCGCGUGUAUGAAGAAGGCCUUCGGGUUGUAAAGUACUUUCAGCGGGGAGGAAGGGAGUAAAGUUAAUACCUUUACUAAUUUACGUUACCCGCAGAAGAAGCACCGUCUAACUCCGUG